CAGUCGCCACGGUAACACGAGGGGGGCAAGCGUUGUUCGGAAUUAUUGGGCGUAAAGGGUGCGUAGGCGGCUUGACAAGUCUUGUGUGAAAUCUAUGGGCUCAACCCAUAGUCUGCACGGGAAACUGUCGGGCUUGAGAAUGGGAGAGGUGAGUGGAAUUUCCGGUGUAGCGGUGAAAUGCGUAGAUAUCGGAAGGAACACCUGUGGCGAAAGCGGCUCACUGGACCAUUUCUGACGCUGAUGCACGAAAGCUAGGGGAGCAAACAGGAUUAGAUACCCCCGUAGUCCCUGUCUCUUAUAC
rnacentral:rRNA from 1 species